GAGUGCUGAAUCUUACAAGCUUUCCAUCCACAUCAGGCUUUCUGACAAGGACAAGGACAUGCCAUUGUCUCUUCUUGUAAGAACUGAUCCAAGUGGGCACAUCAGUCACUGAAACAGGUCUCAGAGAGCCCAGGCUGCCCUCCAAGAGCCCAGGCUGCCCUCCAACUUGCUACAUAGCUGAGAUGCCUUGAAACUCCUGAUGCCGCUGCCUUUGGGCGUCUGCUUCGGUGCGCAGCCCUCCUUAAGGCCUGCGACUACACACUCGCUAUGGAAACCCGCCUGAAGCUUCAGAGACUGGACCUGCUUCCCUCCGGUGAUCUCAUCACUUUCCCCACCAAUCAUCUAUUUAAGAGAAAAGCACACAGCUAAUUUUUUUUAAAUUACAAAAUCAUGAAGAGAGUGGCCCAUCUCCCAUUUUGGAAUUUUGCACAUCAGAUAAUCUACAGGGAACUUGCCAUGCUAGACACUGUGUUGAACUAUUCAGGUCAGUUUGUAUUUAAAAUGGGACUAAUGAAAUCCACAGGGAAAGGUAA